UACGGGGGGAGCAAGCGUUGUUCGGAUUUACUGGGCGUAAAGGGCGCGUAGGCGGCCUCCGCAAGUCAGUUGUGAAAUCUCCGAGCUUAACUCGGAAAGGUCAACUGAUACUGCGGGGCUAGAGUGCGGAAGGGGCAACUGGAAUUCUUGGUGUAGCGGUGAAAUGCGUAGAUAUCUGGAGGAACACCGGUGGCGAAGGCGGCAUUCUGGACCGACAUUGACGCUGAGGCGCGAAAGCCAGGGGAGCAAACGGG
rnacentral:rRNA from 1 species